rnacentral:rRNA from 1 species
UACGGAGGAUCCGAGCGUUAUCCGGAUUUAUUGGGUUUAAAGGGAGCGUAGGUGGGUUGUUAAGUCAGUUGUGAAAGUUUGCGGCUCAACCGUAAAAUUGCAGUUGAAACUGGCAGUCUUGAGUACAGUAGAGGUGGGCGGAAUUCGUGGUGUAGCGGUGAAAUGCUUAGAUAUCACGAAGAACUCCGAUUGCGAAGGCAGCUCACUGGACUGCAACUGACACUGAGGCUCGAAAGUGUGGGUAUCAAACAGG